rnacentral:rRNA from 1 species
AGUGAACGCUGGCGGUAGGCCUAACACAUGCAAGUCGAACGGCAGCACAGUAAGAGCUUGCUCUUACGGGUGGCGAGUGGCGGACGGGUGAGGAAUACAUCGGAAUCUACUUUUUCGUGGGGGAUAACGUAGGGAAACUUACGCUAAUACCGCAUACGACCUACGGGUGAAAGCAGGGGAUCUUCGGACCUUGCGCGAUUGAAUGAGCCGAUGUCGGAUUAGCUAGUUGGCGGGGUAAAGGCCCACCAAGGCGACGAUCCGUAGCUGGUCUGAGAGGAUGUUAGGCAACAUUGAAACGGGGAAACGGUCCAACUCCUAAGGGGAGGAAGAAGGGGGGAAAAUGGGAAAAGGGGCGAAAGCCUGUUCAAGCAAUACCGGGUGGGUGAAGAGGCCCUUGGGGUGGAAAAGCCUUUUUGUGGGAAAGAAAAGGAGCCGGGUUAAACCCCGCUGUUCUGACGGUACCCAAAGAGUAAGCACCGGCUAACUUCGUG